rnacentral:rRNA from 1 species
AGAGACAGCAGUCGCCACGGGAAUACGAAGGGGGCUAGCGUUGCUCGGAAUGACUGGGCGUAAAGGGCGCGUAGGCGGAUGAUACAGUCAGAUGUGAAAUUCCUGGGCUUAACCUAGGGGCUGCAUUUGAUACGUGUUGUCUAGAGUGAGGAAGAGGGUCGUGGAAUUCCCAGUGUAGAGGUGAAAUUCGUAGAUAUUGGGAAGAACACCGGUGGCGAAGGCGACUCUCUGGUCUGUAACUGACGCUGAGGAGCGAAAGCGUGGGGAGCGAACAGGAUUAGAGACCCCGGUAGUCCCUGUCUCUUAUAC